GGUUUGGCACGAAAAUCUCAUGUGACCAACCAAAGCCCGCAAACCGUGCUCAGUCUGGUGACAAACCUCACCCCCUGUCCAUACGGUUUCACUGCUGCUUAUACAAAAAUUUAAUACUGGGAACACAAUAGUUGUAUAGGUGCUUCUGAGUGUGAGGUAGUGGGUGAGUAUGCAAAUAAGAUGUUUUCCCUUUCACCUUAAGACAUUAAUUAAUAAAGAAAAAUUUAAGUGAAACCACUAUUUUAUAUGCACAACACCC